rnacentral:lncRNA from 1 species
CAGUUGCUCCCGUUUUACCUUCUUGAAGACUUCAGUACAUUUCCUGGGCUUGUUGGAGUCUUCCUUGCGGGUGUCGUGAGCGCUUCCAUAAGCACAGUGUCGUCACUGGUGAAUUCUCAAGCCGCCGUCUGGUACUUCGAUGUCCUGACUCCCUUCUGCAAGGUUGGCAGCCAUAAUGUGGAUGUCAUCGUCAAGGCGCUAGCUUUUGCAGUUGGCGGUGUCAUGACAGGGUGCAGCGUGGUGGUCCCAUACUUGGGCUCUGUC